rnacentral:rRNA from 1 species
CCUACGGUGGCUGCAGUGGGGAAUAUUGGACAAUGGGCGAAAGCCUGAUCCAGCCAUGCCGCGUGUGUGAAGAAGGCCUUCGGGUUGUAAAGCACUUUCAGUGGGGAAGAAAGCCUUGGGGCUAAUACCCUCGAGGAAGGACAUCACCCACAGAAGAAGCACCGGCUAACUCCGUGCCAGCAGCCGCGGUAAUACGGAGGGUGCGAGCGUUAAUCGGAAUUACUGGGCGUAAAGCGUGCGUAGGCGGUCUGAUAAGCCGGUUGUGAAAGCCCCGGGCUCAACCUGGGAACGGCAUCCGGAACUGUCAGGCUAGAGUGCAGGAGAGGAAGGUAGAAUUCCCGGUGUAGCGGUGAAAUGCGUAGAGAUCGGGAGGAAUACCAGUGGCGAAGGCGACCUUCUGGACUGACACUGACGCUGAGGUGCGAAAGCGUGGGUAGCAAACAGGAUUAGAUACCCGAGUAGUC